rnacentral:lncRNA from 11 species
GCUACACACUGCAUUGUAGAAUACCUGUGUGAGAUUCUUUGCUAUUUAAACAACAGGUUGAGCCAUUUAGGAUCAUACUCACAGUACAAUAAAACCUGAAUGCAGAGUAUCAUUGACUGGAAACAGAACCAGGCCUUUUUAGAAAAACCUGUCCUCCUACAGUUUAUUAGGAUAGCCUUCAUCUGUCUUGACAGCUGCAGUGCUGAAAACCUGUCAUCUCUUGUUGUCAAUAAUCAACAUUUUGAAAGCCACAAACAAAAGCACAAUGGAGGAAUUAUUAGCUUAUGUCCACCUUCUUGCUGUCCAUCACAUUAUGGAAUAAAUAGGAUUAUGUGUGUCUAACAACUGUAGUGGUUUAAGCAGAAGAAGCAGUUCUCCCAAAACUAAGAUGACAGAAUCACAAUCAUAUGAUAAUCCUGCUAACUGAUUAUUUCCAGAUUAUUAAUUCCAUAAAUAAUUCUGAAAUUGGUUGACUACACAAUAAAAGUUGAUACUAUUGAUGAAUACACGUGGAUGUUAUCAUGAGAAGAAUUGGUGACUGAGAUGUACGUUUCAAGAUUCCUUUUCUUUUUCUAUUUUAUAGAAAAUGAGAUAUGUAUAAAUAAACCAAAGCUAUUUUCUGAAAACUUGGAGACCUUGUACCUUUUUAUUAAAGUGAAAUUAUCUGAAAUCUACUUUCAUGAAGAUUAAAGUAGCAUCUAAA